CACGUAGGGCGCAAGCGUUGUCCGGAAUUAUUGGGCGUAAAGGAGCUCGUAGGCGGUCUGUUGCGUCCGCUGUGAAAACCCGGGGCUUAACCCCUGGCUUGCAGUGGAUACGGACAGACUAGAGGUAGGUAGGGGAGAAUGGAAUUCCCGGUGUAGCGGUGAAAUGCGCAGAUAUCGGGAGGAACACCGGUGGCGAAGGCGGUCAACUGGACCAUUACUGACGCUGAGGCGCGAAAGCGUGGGGAGCAAACAGG
rnacentral:rRNA from 1 species